rnacentral:rRNA from 1 species
AGUGAACGCUGGCGGUAGGCCUAACACAUGCAAGUCGAACGGCAGCACAGUAAGAGCUUGCUCUUACGGGUGGCGAGUGGCGGACGGGUGAGGAAUACAUCGGAAUCUACUUUUUCGUGGGGGAUAACGUAGGGAAACUUACGCUAAUACCGCAUACGACCUACGGGUGAAAGCAGGGGAUCUUCGGACCUUGCGCGAUUGGAUGAGCCGAUGUCGGAUUAGCUAGUUGGCGGGGUAAAGGCCCACCAAGGCGACGAUCCGUAGCUGGUCUGAGAGGAUGAUCAGCCACACUGGAACUGAGACACGGUCCAGACUCCUACGGGAGGCAGAAGUGGGGAAUAUUGGACAAUGGGCGCAAGCCUGAUCCAGCCAUACCGCGUGGGUGAAGAAGGCCUUCGGGUUGUAAAGCCCUUUUGUUGGGAAAGAAAAGCAGCAGGUUAAUACCCCGCUGUUCUGACGGUACCCAAAGAAUAAGCACCGGCUAACUUCGCG